rnacentral:rRNA from 1 species
GACGAACGCUGGCGGCGUGCUUAACACAUGCAAGUCGAGCGACGCUCUUCCUUCGGGGAGAUGACGGAGCGGCGAACGGGUGAGUAACACGUGGGCAACCUGCCCCUAGCUCUGGGACAACACCGGGAAACCGGUGCUAAUACCGGAUACGACAUCGAGCGGCAUCUCUCGAUGUGGAAAGUUUUUUCGGCUAGGGAUGGGCCCGCGGCCUAUCAGCUUGUUGGUGGGGUAAUGGCCCACCAAGGCGACGACGGGGAGCCGGCCGGAGAGGGCGACCGGCCACACGGGGACUGAGACACGGCCCAGACUCCUACGGGAGGCAGCAGUGGGGAAUAUUGCGCAAUGGGCGAAAGCCUGACGCAGCGACGCCGCGUGAGGGAUGACGGCCUUCGGGUUGUAAACCUCUUUCAGCAGGGACGAAUUCAGACGGUACCUGCAGAAGAAGCACCGGCCAACUACGUG